rnacentral:rRNA from 1 species
AUUGAACGCUGGCGGCAUGCCUUACACAUGCAAGUCGAACGGCAGCACGGGGCAACCUGGUGGCGAGUGGCGAACGGGUGAGUAAUGCAUCGGAACGUGCCAUUGAGUGGGGGAUAACGUAGCGAAAGUUGCGCUAAUACCGCAUAUUCUGUGAGCAGGAAAGCAGGGGACCGCAAGGCCUUGCGCUCUUUGAGCGGCCGAUGUCAGAUUAGCUAGUUGGUGAGGUAACGGCUUACCAAGGCGACGAUCUGUAGCGGGUCUGAGAGGAUGAUCCGCCACACUGGAACUGAGACACGGUCCAGACUCCUACGGGAGGCAGCAGUGGGAAUUUUGGACAAUGGGCGCAGGCCUGAUCCAGCCAUGCCGCGUGAGUGAAGAAGGCCUGGUGUAAG